GACAGAGGUGCCAAGCGUUAGGCGGAAUCACUGGGCUUAAAGCGUGUGUAGGCGGAUUGGUAAGUACCUUGUGAAAUCCCACAGCUCAACUGUGGAACUGCUCGGUAUACUGCUUAUCUUGAGCCACUUAGGGGCUACCGGAACAAAUGGUGGAGCGGUGAAAUGCGUAGAUAUCAUUUGGAACGCCAAUGGUGAAAACAGGUAGCUGGGAGUGUGCUGACGCUGAGACACGAAAGCCAGGGGAGCAAACGGG
rnacentral:rRNA from 1 species